AAUGUUUACACACAUCAGGAAAAGAAAAACUUGCAUAAAUGUUUCAAUACCAAAUUUAUUCAGACAUCACGAGAUUAAUAAAAGUUAUCUUUGGCCUCUACAAUUACAAGAGGUGCUCAAAGUAGUGGCCACUGGCUUCCAGACAUUUCUGUUGUGUUGUAGAUGUCACUUGUUGAUGCUCCAUUCAUGAGGGUAGCGCCAUCUGUUGGGAAAACAUCGUACAACAGGACAGUUAUCGUGAUUUGAUCAAACUUAGAAAGAGGUAUCUAUAUGUGUAGAAGUACUUAUAAAAUGAAAUAUUUAUAAAAGUUUUUCUUUUCCUGAUGUGUGUACAUUAUUUUGGCUGACUCUGAACUUAAUGAGAACAAAACUGUCAUUUAAUUGUUGCUCUGAAGCUUCUUUAGUGAAAACCAGCUGGUGUUCUGCUUUGAAACAAACUGCUGUUGAGGUCUGUGUUUUUAGGUUUAACCCCCCAGUUUCUGAAUGAACUGAUAGUUGUUGGUUUUUUUCCUGAUCAAUGUGGACGUUAUAAUUGAUGGUAACAUUUACUGAUCAUAUAAUCAGCAUGACAAUAUAACAGUAUAACAUUCUGACCACCUGACUAAUACUGUGUUGGUCCCUUUAUGCUGCUAAAACUCCUCUGACCCAGUGGUUCAUCAGAACCUCUGGGGAUGUCCUGUGGAUUCUGUGGAUCCUGUGGGUUGCAGGGUGGGUCCUACAUAGACCAGGCUGAUCCUGGACCAUCCCACAGAUGCUCCAUCAGAUGUGGAUGUGGGGAGUGUGGAACCCAGAUGUUCAGAGGGAGAUGAUGCCACAUCUGGUCCAGCUGAUGGAAGGUCUUGAAGUUCUCUGACUGGCCUCGACUGAAGAUGGUCGUCUUACUGGAUUUAAGGUUCAGAUGCUCAGUAACAAACUCCACCAAUGAGCCAACAGGGAAGCUUUAGGUUUAUUAAAUGUUGCUAUGAAGGUAUCGCUGUUUUUCUUUGUGAAUGCAAUGUGCUCCAACUGAAACUUGAAUUAGAACUUAGAAGUAAAUCCUUCCAUCUGAAAGGAUCUAGUUGCAUUAAUAACCUCAUAACAUUCUAAUUUUUAUUCCAGUCUUGGUUGGAAAUAGAAUCUCUGUAUUGAUUCAGAUAAAAACUGAACUUCACAGCAUGUUGGAGCAAAACAACCAGAUGAAAACUGUGAUGGUGUUGGAUUGUCAGACCGUAAUGUUGCAGCUCAAAGCAGCUUUUCUAUCUCAGUUCAUUCUGACAUUCAGCUAUGAAUCAACACAGCAGAUGGUGAUCCAUGCUGUGGAAGUCUCACAUCUCCUCAUUUAAUGGAGCUGCUUUACACUUUUUACACUGUUUAUUCACCAACACUUUAUUUAAUAAAAGUCCCAUCUAGUUUUCAUGAGGAAUGUGAUGUUUUAAUUUCUCUGUGAAUAACUGCAGUCUAAUGCAACAGCUGGAGUUGUAACAUCUGUCCUGAUAUUGAUCAUGAAGUAUUGAUCAGAAUACUUAUGGUUAGCAGUCAUCCCUGAAGUUUUACAUUAAAAUCUUUACUCGUGUUGUGAACUUUGGUAAGAAGCAGAAACUUUAGUGUUGCCAUGGAUACGUGAGUGUUAAAUAAAAUCUCACAAUCAGACAAUAAAUAUUAUCUGAAAGUGGGGUUAUUGUUGUUUAUCAGCACAAUACAAAAAGAUUCAUGUUAGACUUAUUCCAGUUAAGACUCUAGAAUAUCAUGAUUUAUGUAAAUUUACCUCAAUAAUAUGAAUGUUCAGGUUAAGAUUGUACAGUGAUAUUUAUUAUGCAAGUUUAGCUGAUUAAAGUUUAUGACUCUGCACUAAAAUAUUAUUUAAAUUUACAUCAUUAUUAUAAUAUUUAGAGUCAGACCCUACAGUAUUGAGAUUAAGAAAUCAAAUAUUCUAUAAAAUGUAAAUACACUGAACUCAUUUGGAUAUAUUUAAGUGAGACUCUACAAUAUUAUUUGACACAAAUCUAUCUAAAUCAAAAUAUCCAAACAUUUAUUGGACUGAUUUAAAUAUUAAAAUCACUCCUUUCUAAUCCUCUGCUGUACGUUCAAACCUGAGGCCUCAAAUAGAGACACACAAGUAUCUGAUUGAAGGAACUUCUGCAGAAUCCUGGUUCCAGAACAUGAUGAUAGAAUUAUAGACAAACUUUAACAAAAGCUGCCUGAGAGUUUACAGGUUUUUAUGUUGGAUUUCUUCAGUAAUUUCAUGAGAAUUAUCAGCAAAAAUCAAGUGUUCAUUAGAUGAACUUCAUUUCCUAAAACAUCCAGAAUUGGAGCUCAUAUCUUUGGCAGCUGUAAAGUUUCUGCUCCUUCAAAGUUCACAACACAAUGAAUGAAUUCCUAAAACACUCUCAAUGCUGGAGAGCGUUUGAUGCUGAAGCAGUGAUCAGUUUUUCUGUUUCUUCUCUGGAGAUGCACAAUGAGGGACGUCUGCAGCGACUGAGAAAGAGUCUCACCACAUCCUGACAUGAGGAAAAAGACUUUAUUGAAGACUACAAUGAGGAAAAACUAUCAGACAGCAGACGGCUGCAUUCAAGAGAAGAAGACCAUCAAACAUCCACGUCAGCUGAUGGAGGUCCAAGAGUCUCACCCAACAAACAACCUACAGAGUGAAGACCUCGAACCUGAUUGGACGGCCUCCUAUUCAGCCACGUGUGAACAAAUGCCUCUAAGCUGAUUUGUUUUCUAAAAUAAAUCUAGUUUGAGUCCUGA